UAAAGCCUGUAGGAUUGGGUCGU
rnacentral:miRNA from 1 species